rnacentral:rRNA from 1 species
UACGAAGGGUGCAAGCGUUACUCGGAAUCACUGGGCGUAAAGCGUGCGUAGGCGGUUUCUUAAGUCUGUCGUGAAAGCCCUGGGCUCAACCUGGGAACGGCGAUGGAUACUGGGAAGCUAGAAUGUGAGAGAGGAUGGUGGAAUUCCCGGUGUAGCAGUGAAAUGCGUAGAGAUCGGGAGGAACAUCUGUGGCGAAGGCGACUGCCUGGACCAGCACUGACACUGAGGCACGAAAGCGUGGGUAGCAAACAGG